rnacentral:rRNA from 1 species
CAGCCGCCACGGUAAUACAGAGGGUGCUAGCGUUAAUCGGAUUUACUGGGCGUAAAGCGUGCGUAGGCGGCUUCUUAAGUCGGAUGUGAAAUCCCUGAGCUUAACUUAGGAAUUGCAUUCGAUACUGGGAAGCUAGAGUAUGGGAGAGGAUGGUAGAAUUCCAGGUGUAGCGGUGAAAUGCGUAGAGAUCUGGAGGAAUACCGAUGGCGAAGGCAGCCAUCUGGCCUAAUACUGACGCUGAGGUACGAAAGCAUGGGGAGCAAACAGGAUUAGAGACCCCCGUAGUCCCUGUCUCUUAUAA